rnacentral:rRNA from 1 species
AGUGAACGCUGGCGGUAGGCCUAACACAUGCAAGUCGAACGGCAGCACAGAGAAGCUUGCUCCUUGGGUGGCGAGUGGCGGACGGGUGAGGAAUACAUCGGAAUCUACUCUGUCGUGGGGGAUAACGUAGGGGAACUUACGCUAAUACCGCAUACGACCUACGGGUGAAAGCAGGGGAUCUUCGGACCUUGCGCGAUUGAAUGAGCCGAUGUCGGAUUAGCUAGUUGGCGGGGUAAAGGCCCACCAAGGCGACGAUCCGUAGCCAGUCUGAGAGGAUCAUCAGCCACACUGGAACUGAGAGACGGUACAGAGUCCGACGGGAGGCAGCAGUGGGGAGUAUUGGACAAUGGGCGCAAGCCUGAUCCAGCCACACCGAGUGGGUGAAGAAGGCCUUCGGGUUGUAAAGCCCUUUUGUUGGGAAAGAAAUCCAUCUGGUUAAUACCCGGGUGGGAUGACGGUACCCAAAGAAUAAGCACCGGCUAACUUCGUGCCAGCCGCCGCGGUAA